UGGGGAAUAUUGGACAAUGGGCGGAAGCCUGAUCCAGCCAUGCCGCGUGUGUGAAGAAGGCCUUUUGGUUGUAAAGCACUUUAAGCGAGGAGGAGGCUACUAGUACUAAUACUACUGGAUAGUGGACGUUACUCGCAGAAUAAGCACCGGCUAACUCUGUGCCAGCAGCCGCGGUAAUACAGAGGGUGCGAGCGUUAAUCGGAUUUACUGGGCGUAAAGCGUGCGUAGGUGGUUCGUUAAGUUGAAUGUGAAAGCCCCGGGCUCAACCUGGGAACUGCAUCCAAAACUGGCGAGCUAGAGUAGGGCAGAGGGUGGUGGAAUUUCCUGUGUAGCGGUGAAAUGCGUAGAUAUAGGAAGGAACACCAGUGGCGAAGGCGACCACCUGGGCUCAUACUGACACUGAGGUGCGAAAGCGUGGGGAGCAAACAGG
rnacentral:rRNA from 1 species